rnacentral:rRNA from 2 species
AUGGGCGCAAGCCUGAUGGAGCAACACCGCGUGAGUGAAGAAGGGUUUCGGCUCGUAAAACUCUGUUGUUGAAGAAGAACGUGCGUGAGAGUAACUGUUCACGCAGUGACGGUAUUCAACCAGAAAGUCACGGCUAACUACGUGCCAGCAGCCGCGGUAAUACGUAGGUGGCAAGCGUUAUCCGGAUUUAUUGGGCGUAAAGCGAGCGCAGGCGGUUUUCUAAGUCUGAUGUGAAAGCCUUCGGCUUAACCGGAGAAGGGCAUCGGAAACUGGAUAACUUGAGUGCAAGAGAGGACAGUGGAACUCCAUGUGUAGCGGUGGAAUGCGUAGAUAUAUGGAAGAACACCAGUGGCGAAGGCGGCUGUCUAGCUUGCAACUGACGCUGAGGCUCGAAAGCAUGGGUAGCGAACAGGAUUAGAUACCCUGGUAGUCCAUGCCGUAAACGAUGAGUGCUAGGUGUUGGAGGGUUUCCGCCCUUCAGUGCCGGAGCUAACGCAUUAAGCACUCCGCCUGGGGAGUACGACCGCAAGGUUGAAACUCAAAGGAAUUGACGGGGGCCCGCACAAGCGGUGGAGCAUGUGGUUUAAUUCGAAGCUACGCGAAGGACCUUACCAGGUCUUGACAUCUUGCGCCAACCUCAGAGAUGAGGCGUUCCC